AGUGAACGCUGGCGGUAGGCCUAACACAUGCAAGUCGAACGGCAGCACAGUAAGAGUUUGCUCUUACGGGUGGCGAGUGGCGGACGGGUGAGGAAUACAUCGGAAUCUACUUUUUCGUGGGGGAUAACGUAGGGAAACUUACGCUACUACCGCAUACGACCUACGGGUGAAAGCAGUGGAUCUUCGGACCUUGCGCGAUUGAAUGAGCCGAUGUCGGAUUAGCUAGUUGGCGGGGUAAAGGCCCACCAAGGCGACGAUCCGUAGCUGGUCUGAGAGGAUGAUCAGCCACACUGGAACUGAGACACGGUCCAGACUCCUACGGGAGGCAGCAGUGGGGAAUAUUGGACAAUGGGCGCAAGCCUGAUCCAGCCAUACCGCGUGGGUGAAGAAGGCCUUCGGGUUGUAAAGCCCUUUUGUUGGGAAAGAAAAGCAGCAGGUUAAUACCCCGCUGUUCUGACGGUACCCAAAGAAUAAGCACCGGCUAACUUCGUG
rnacentral:rRNA from 1 species